rnacentral:rRNA from 1 species
ACCCUACGGGGGGCAGCAGUUAGGAAUAUUCGUCAAUGGGGGAAACCCUGAACGAGCAAUGCCGCGUGAAGGAUGACGGUCCUAUGGAUUGUAAACUUCUGUUGUUAGGGAAGAACGACCUAAGUAGGAAAUGACUUAGGAGUGACAGUACCUUUCAAGAAAGCUCCGGCUAACUACGUGCCAGCAGCCGCGGUAAUACGUAGGUGGCGAGCGUUAUCCGGAAUGAUUGGGCGUAAAGGGUGCGUAGGCGGCCUGCUAAGUCUGGAGUGAAAGGUACCGGCUCAACCGGUACAGGCUCUGGAAAC